rnacentral:lncRNA from 1 species
GCACUGCUCUAGAGAGAAGGCAGAGGCAUGACAGCAUGGGCGGUGCUGACAGCAGAGGGGCUGCUGUUACUGUAGACCACAGAAUGAACACGCAGCUGAAUCUCUCUGCUCUUUUGUCUUGUGUAAAAAUGGUUUGUUAGAAGUCACUCUGGAUAGUCCCCAGUGAAAACCUCCCAGACUGUGGAGGGAGCGUUUGAGAGCACCAAGAGGGCGAUGCGACUCAGUCUACACUUCAGACUAUCUGCUCCGAGACAAAUAGCCUUCUGGAGAACUUGUGGGGACUUCUCAUCCACAGUCCACGUUCUACGUUGUAUCAUCCUUCUUGGCUGUGCAGAGAAGUCUGAGCAAUGCAAAUGCUAUGAUGCUAUGCAAGCCCAGCAGAUGGACACAUAUAUGAAUAGAGUUUGCUUCUGGCCACAUUUUCACCUUUAGGAAUUGUCAGGAUGCAGUUCUCUAUGGCGUCUCUGCAUCUCAGACUACAUUUGUCCAGCAGCUUUAGAAGCUAGUGUCUCCCUUAAGGGCAAAGGGCAGACUUAUCUUGUGAUCAAGAUAAUAAGGAUAGUGUCUCCCGCAGAAACAAAGUUUGGGCAGGUCUGCUAGCAGCCCCACUAAGGUUAGGGGUUUGGCACUCCGUGUUUCUCAGCUGUGAUGCAGACUCCACUGUACGUGGCAAUCACCUGGGCCUACCUUGGGGAUAUAUGGAACUGAUGCAACAAGAAGCUCAUGCUGCCUGUUGUGCUAUGACUAAAAGGCUGUCUAGAUCCAUUCCUCACCCAUGGAAUCUACAGAAGGGUAGGUAGCCAGACCAGAAGCUGCAGUGGCUGCUGCUCCUGAGGGAUUCCUUAACCAUGAGACAACAGGUUGUGGAAGUAUGGACCCACAAUGUCUGUGCAGAAGAGGCUACAACCAAGGGCAGAACAGUGGUCUGGCUUCUGGUACAAACUACAGCACCUAUUAUUUAUCUUGGUAAUUUUCUGAGGGCCUAUGUAGCAACUACUCCUGUUUGCUUGUAGAAGACCUGAGAUCCAGGAAUCAGACACACUCCAAUGUAACUGCUGGUUUCAGUGCUUACUCCUUCCAUGACCCUGAGCAUGGUACUCUCUGAGCCUCAGUUCCCGUGUAUGAAACAGAAAUCAUAAGAGAAUCUCACAAAUUUGUUUAAUGAGAUGAUAUAGUGAAGUGCAGGGCAUUGUGAACUGGCUCAUAGCAUAUACUGAAAAUAUGUUAACCAGUACUUCUUUGCUUCUUGAUUAUAAGAUUUGAACAGCUUUUCAGUCUCCAAAGACCAGAUAAUUUGGUACACAGAAAAAUCUUAAUUGGUAAUCAAACCCAGCCUUAUAAUUUUACUGAUUGAAAAAAGGAACGCAGUGACUUGCCUUCUGCUAAACUGGACACCAAUUUAGUACCGGGCAGGAUUAGCAUGCAGACCUCCUCAGUAUCAGCUUAAUUCCUUCUCUCCUGGAACUUCAAUUCACCCUGUAGUAAUCGACACUGAGUGAAGUGUUGUGUAGAUAGGAAGCAAGGAGAGACAAGAUGGAAUUAAGUUUAAAAACACGUAGAGAAGCUAAGGAUUGCUGUAGGACUACUCUUAAAACUAGACAGACAGAGGCUGGGUGCCGUGGCUCACACCUGUAAUCCUAGCACUUUGGGAAGCCAAGGUGGGCAGAUCACUUGAGGUCAGGAGUUCGAGACCAGCCUCACCGACAUGCAGAAGCCCCUUCUCUACUAAAAACACAAAAAAUAACCAGGCGUGGUGGCAUACACCUGCAGUCCCUGCAACUUGGGAGGCUGAGGCGGGAGAAUCUCUUGAACCUAGGGGGCGGAGGUGCAGUGAGCCGAAAUCGUGCCACUGCACUCCAGACUAGGUGACAGAGACAGACAGAGACUCUGUCUUAAAAUAAAUAAAUAAAUAAAAAUAGACAGGAAGCAAUUUGAAGUAUUAUUGAGAUAAUAUUUCUGAUAGAAAACAAAGGCUUCAAAUUCUAUGGACUGAGAGUAAAAUGGCUUCCUCAGAAAGGCGGUUCUCAUUCUGAGACAAUUUACUUUUGCUAUUACAGGUAAAACUAAGUUUGAAUGUUGCCUACUAAAAUCACAUGACAUGAAAAGUGCCAAUAGGAUAGAAGACAUACACAAAAGCAGAAACAUGUUAUUAAAAGAAGAUAUGCAAACUCAAAAGUAAAAUAGUGUGAACUCAUAAAUGUUGAGGAGAACACAUCUCAAAACCGUCUGUGCCCACAGUUGCAUUGUUGUAGAAAUCAUGAAAUACUUCCUAAGCUAAUGAUUAGGAAAGCCUUAAGCAAGCUAUAAAUCCAUCUAAACAUGUAAAUUAAUAUAAUUAAUAAUGCAAAGUAAUAAGAUUAAUAUAAUAAAUAACAUUACAUAAGCAUUUUCUUAGGCUAGAAUAUGCUCUGGUAAUAACACCUGUUUCUUAGAAGGUAGAUGUAAUAAUGGUUUGCAUUUUUGAGUCAUGAAAAUUCCACUGCAAUUCUUGGCAAUUUUUCAGGGUAGUCCUUCAUGUAGUAAUUCAAUGGUUCUUAUUACUCUGAUCUAGUGCAUCCACCACUUCAAUGUGAGGCAUCCUUGAUCACCAUGACAGGGGAAGACAGCUUGAAGUUUGCAGCCAAUCUGGUAUAUGUUGGCCCCAAAUGAGCAUACUUUGCUUACAUCCACAGCCUAGGGCAACAGCUAACUAGUCAAGAAGAGCAGGAAAUGGGAGAGACAAACUGAGUGCUUGGAGGAUCCCCAUUCUCAUAUAUGAAAUUGUUAAAUUUUUGUCUGUGGAUGAUUUUUUUCUAAGACAGCACCUAACUGUGCAAUGCAUUUGGAAAGAGCUUCGUGUAAAUAUUUCUUAAAAUUUAGAUGAAAAGUGGUGCUUAGUGUGAUAAAGGCUUAAUUACCAACAAAAUUCAAAUCUCUAAAACAUGUCAUUACAUAGAAUUAAUAAGCAAGGUUUUACUCUGUUGUGAAAGUUGGUGUGGUUUUAAAAAUGAGGGCUUAUAAACUGGUUAAAUAAAACAUUCUUCUAUUAAAACACUAUACAAACACCAAGGAUAAUGCAAUGGAGCUGUAUGGGCUGAUAUGGUAAAAGCAAUGUGCAGCAAAAUAUGGGAAGAGUAUCAUUCCAUUUCUGUGCAUGCAUUCAUGUGUACACACAUGCACAGUUGGUCUUCAUUUUCCAGGAUCUCUUGCAGUUAGGUGUGUCCAUGUAACAGAGUUCUAACCAAUAAACUAUGAGCAAAAUAGCUGUAUACUGUUUUACAAUUUCCAGCUUGGUCCAUAAACCCUGCUCUAGCCAUCUUCCACAAGUUACUCUUCUACUUGGGCUUCUAGUCAAUAUGAAAAAGGCUGGGCGGGGCACAGUGGCUCACACCUUUGGGUGAGCACUUUGGGAGGCUGAGGCAAGAGGAUCACGGGGUCAGAAAAUCGAGACCAUCCUGGCUAACACAGUGAAACCCUGUCUCUACUAAAACUACAAAAAUUAGCUGGACACGGUGGCACACGCCUGUG